ACGUACACUCCUACGGGAGGCAGCAGUGGGGAAUAUUGGACAAUGGGCGCAAGCCUGAUCCAGCCAUGCCGCGUGAGUGAUGAAGGCCCUAGGGUUGUAAAGCUCUUUCACCGGUGAAGAUAAUGACGGUAACCGGAGAAGAAGCCCCGGCUAACUUCGUGCCAGCAGCCGCGGUAAUACGAAGGGGGCUAGCGUUGUUCGGAUUUACUGGGCGUAAAGCGCACGUAGGCGGACUAUUAAGUCAGGGGUGAAAUCCCGGGGCUCAACCCCGGAACUGCCUUUGAUACUGGUAGUCUUGAGUUCGAAAGAGGUGAGUAGAAUUCCGAGUGUAGAGGUGAAAUUCGUAGAUAUUCGGAGGAACACCAGUGGCGAAGGCGGCUCACUGGCUCGAUACUGACGCUGAGGUGCGAAAGCGUGGGGAGCAAACAGGAUUAGAAACCCUUGUAGUCCCAUGAU
rnacentral:rRNA from 1 species